AUUCUCCUUUCGGCUUCCUCAGACUUGCAGCUCACAGGCUAUCCUCAGAGUUCUCUAGGACUGAGCUUCUACUUUGAUUUUCACAAACAUCUAUUUAUGUAACCUGCCCCUCCACCGGACACAAGGGCGGACAGAUGUCUCAAUCAUUUUUAUGUUCCAACGUCUGGCUUAGAAGAGCUUGCUGAACUGAGAUAGCCAAACAACUGAGUUGAUCUUCUGCUGAAUGUCAACUGAAUGGGGACUGUGAUACCCUCAGGGACAUUUGCUGAAGAUUAAAAAUAAAUUCACAACUAAUUGACUGUCAGCCAUAAGCUAUACUGCUGGGACUUCCAAACUACCAACUGAAAAGAAAACGACUGAGCAAAUCUUGCCAAGGCCCAACCCAAAGAUUAAAAACAGCCUCCCUGUUUAACUUGCCUACAGCACAACUCAUCAGAUGAAAGGUGGGGUCCAAUCUGGGAUGCAAGUGGAAGCUUAAAGGUUGUAUUACUUCAAUAUCUGUUUUCUAUAAAAUCAUUUUUAUUUUUAUUUGGAAGAUUGUAAACAGUUUGAAUAAGUAAGUCUCUUGAUUUUACCAUUUUAUUUUAUUUGAUGACUAACUUUCUUUUAUUGCUUCAUAAAAUGAACCUCAUGGAAUGUUUGCUUACUUCUCAUUGCAUGAGGAAUAAAAAGGAAUUGCUUAA